UGCGCUGCAGCGGGCCCAACCCGCGGCUCGGAGCUCACCCGGAGGGGGAGGGCGGACGCGGGGUCGGCCCCGCCGCCCCCCGCCCCGGCCUCCUGCCGAUCGCCAGCACCCCUAGCCUUUCCGGCUGAGCUCGGCGCCCCAGAGAGGAUUAAGUAAGUGCUGAAGCCGCAGCUUCUGUGCAGGAAUGGAGGAAUCACCGAGUCGCAGAGGCGGGGAUGGGGAUUGGAGCAGGGAGGACUGAGGAACCUGGCAGACAACGGAGAUCUGAGACCCAAGAGGUGGAGUGACAAGCCUAGGGUCAUCUGACUCUUGGGCAAACGUUUCCCUCCUGGAAAGGAAAAAGCUGCAGUAUUUUUUUUUUCCUCCAAGAAGGAGCACCCAGGGGGCCAGGGAGCUCCUUUUCUCCCAGGAGGUGGCAACCUGCAAGUAUAGGAAGGGGCCACGGGCUGGGACACCACUGAUGUCAGAAGCGAGUUGGCAGGUUGACUGACCACAGGCAGUCGCUCAGCCAGGGCCCUGUCAGUAUCAGCAUGAACUCCAGGAUCCCCCCUGCCCGGGGCUGGUUUAGCAGUAGCCCACCCACCUCUGAGCCUGACCUGGAGCCUGCCACAGAGGGGCCAGCCUCCGAGACCACCACCCUCAGCACAGAAGCUACCAGCUUUAAUGACACCAGAAUCCCUGAUGUGGCUGGUGGCACAGCUGGCGUGGGCACAAUGCUUCUGUCCUUUGGGAUCAUCACCGUCAUUGGACUGGCUGUGGCCAUGGUUUUGUACAUCAGGAAGAAGAAGAGGCUGGAGAAGCUCCGCCACCAGCUCAUGCCCAUGUACAACUUCGACCCUACGGAGGAACAAGAUGAACUGGAACAGGAGCUGCUGGAGCACGGGCGGGAUGCUGCUUCCAUGCAGGCUGCUGCCUCUGUGCAGGCCAUGCAGGGCAAGACCAGUCUCCCCUCUCAGGGCCCACUGCAGAGGCCCAGCCGGCUGGUGUUCACUGACGUAGCCAACGCCAUCCGUGCAUGAUUGGCCCGAGGACAGACCUGGACCUCUGGUGAAGACAUCUGCCACUGUGCCCUUUGAGCUGCCCACUCCGUGAUUGUUCAGACCCACUCUCAGGACCCACACUGCUGAGGCCCAGCUGUUCCAAGGACCCACCUGCUGACUCUCUAGGCUCUAAGAGAGGGCCUGGCCAGGCUGCACAUCUGGCUACUAAGGUCUCCUGAUUAGGAAGAGCCGCUACUGGCUCCUUGUGUCCUGCCCAGACCCCUCACAUUGGGGUCUGCUCCUCUAAUGUGGAGGAAGUGGAGGGAGAGAUGGGAUGGGAGGGGGAAUGGGAGGCAAGUGGGGAGGGGUUCCCCUUUGUCAGGGAGAGACCUAUCUUUGGAAUCUGGGGCCUCCUCUGGAGCAGGGAGGGGCAAUCAACCAGGUCUUGGGGACAGGGUGUGGUAGCACCCCGGCAGAAGCCCAGGGAUGGAACGAGAACUGCCUGGUGGGCAAGGAUGCCAGGAAGAGGGCUGCUCCUACCCAAGGCCCAACUGUAUCUUGGAGGGUCCCCAAGGCCUCCCAGUGCCCGCCGCCUCCCCCCUGGCAGCCAGCCAUUGGCUUGGUAAGGGAAAAGAAGGCAGGGGAAUAGGUGUAGAGGGCCCCAGGCAUGUGCUUGUGUGCAGGCAUGUGCCUGUCCCAGCACAGGGUAGGAGGGACAUGCUCUACAUGGGCUCCACCCUCCAAGUCCACCCUACCCCAUGAUGUGUGUGGGAGCACCAGGAUAGGCCGCUUACUCUGCCUCAGUGGUCAGUGACUGAAAGGAGAGGGAAGCCAAGGUGAAGGCCCUGCUGCCCACCACAUCACUUCACUGGGCUCUACAAGCCAGGAUGGCCCAAUUUACAGCAUUGGAAAUCCCACAAACCAAGACUCUAUGUGACACCCAGAUCCUCCCCUAAAGAGCUGAGCCUUUGGGCCAGAAUAGGAAACAAAGAUGGGGUGAGCACCCCAGUUCUGUGGUGGAGGGCUGGGUGGAAGGGUUGAGGGGCAGGGUCUUGGGUAACAGGGAGGCCCCAGGACCCCAUGGGCCAUCCACAUUGGAGUCAGACAGCUGGCCUUGACAAUGAUGACCGUGGUCUUGCAGAGGGGGUCUCCUUCCCCCAGCAGUUAACAGAAGGAUUCCUAAGGGCCAUAGGGUGAGAGAAGUGGGGGUGGGCUCUGUGCCCCCAUUCUGCUGGGUAACCCCUCAAUCCAAGAAUGUGGGAGCUAUAAAAGACCCAAUGUCUGAGGGACCCUGAAAAAACCGGGCCUACAGAGUAAGGCUAGCACUUAGGAUCUAGGGAUGGAGGUGGGGACUCCAGAUGGACCCCUGGCCUGCCUCAGCCCCCUUUCCCACAGAUGGGCCUAACUAAGUGGUGGACAGGGCAGCUUUUCAUGGGUGAGGGGGCCACUGCCUCAUCCCUGUCCCCUCAAACACCUCCUCUUUCUUCUCCCCACCUUCUGUUUGCUGGCUCUCUUUCCGAGUCUUGGAGGAGAACCAAACUCUCCACAAGUUCCCAGGUCUUCCACAGGGCAUGGGGUCAAUAAAUAUUGGGGUGAAAGGAUCCAGUUGGCAUGUCUUGGUGACCAUGGGCCUGGCAGGCUGACUAGAACUCCCCUCACCGCCCUCGCCAGGCAGAGUAGGACAAUCACCUGCCUGCCUUCAUUGCUCCCGAAAUUGUCUGCUAAAGGAACCCCUUGGGAAACGCCCCUGCAGGACACACAUACAUGGACCGGCGAAACCCCUAUUCAUGAGUAGCAACCAGGGCUUCAGGGCAGAAGCUAGAGCGGCUUGCAGUGGGUGCCGUCAGGGCGGACGCGAGUGGGCCUUCCGAGGAAGCCGUCUUGUUUAAUGAAGUGAAGUGUCACUACAAUACAGUGAAUACAAUAAUCCCGUUGCCUCGCUGCAGGCAGAUGCCAGGGACACCUACAGAAUGUAAAGGAAAGUUCUUGUGGACGCGAGCCCCAAAACUCCAGUAGA